rnacentral:misc_RNA from 1 species
GAAAUGCGAUAAGUAAUGUGAAUUGCAGAAUUCAGUAAAUCAUCGAAUCUUUGAACGCACAUUGCGCCCGCCAGUAUUCUGGCGGGCAUGCCUGUCCGAGCGUCAUUUCAACCAUCAAGCCCCCGGGCUUGUGUUGGGGACCUGCGGCUGCCCGCAGGCCCUGAAAACCAGUGGCGGGCUCGCUGUCACACCGAGCGUAGUAGCAAUCACCUCGCUCAGGGCGUGCUGCGGGUUCCGGCCGUUAAACAGCCUUACAAAACCCAAGGUUGACCUCGGAUCAGGUAGGAAGACCCGCUGAACUUAAGC